rnacentral:rRNA from 1 species
AGUGAACGCUGGCGGUAGGCCUAACACAUGCAAGUCGAACGGCAGCACAGUAAGAGCUUGCUCUUACGGGUGGCGAGUGGCGGACGGGUGAGGAAUACAUCGGAAUCUACUUUUUCGUGGGGGAUAACGUAGGGAAACUUACGCUAAUACCGCAUACGACCUACGGGUGAAAGCAGGGGAUCUUCUGACCUUGCGCGAUUGAAUGAGCCGAUGUCGGAUUAGCUAGGUGGCGGGGUAAAGGCCCACCAAGGCGACGAUCCGUAGCUGGUCUGAGAGGAUGAUCAGCCACACUGGAACUGAGACACGGUCCAGACUCCUACGGGAGGCAGCAGUGGGGAAUAUUGGACAAUGGGCGCAAGCCUGAUCCAGCCAUACCGCGUGGGUGAAGAAGGCCUUCGGGUUGUAAAGCCCUUUUGUUGGGAAAGAAAAGCAGCAGGUUAAUACCCCGCUGUUCUGACGGUACCCAAAGAAUAAGCACCGGCUAACUUCGUG